GCAAAUCGGAGCAAAUAUGGUGGCACGACAAGCAGUUAAGAGAUCCAACCAAACAACAGAGAACUGGCAGGGUGGAUAAACAGAAUCAUCAUUAUUGUUGUGUAUAUAAUACAAUUUGCAUACACUAAUCACAGCGUGCCUCCUCGGAAGUGUUCUCCGGAGGACGGACGGAGUAGCAAAAUCUCACAGCAGGUUCUUUAUUUCAGUUAUCAUGGCGGCAACAAAAUGAAUAGAGGUUCUCGACCGAAUAAUGAUACAUCAACAGUGGAUCUUAAGUUGUCUCCGGGGCAGGGCAGGGCAGGGCUCACUCGCCGCUCAGGAUGGGGUUGAUCAAAGGCUUCAUCUGGGCGAGGUACACGAUUGCCCACCUGCAGAGAAAUAUUAAUGACUUGUUAGAAAAUGAGAGCUGGGACAAGCAGGAUGUGAAACCAUGCUAAAAACAGGCUCGUGAAUGCAGGAAUUCUUUUGUAUAUAGAAAAUAUUGCAACAGGAAAAUUAAGAUAAUGUAGGAAAAUCUGGUGUGCCUAUAAAAUAAUGGCACCGCAAGCGUCCAAGGAUCUGCGACAUUUGUGUGUGUCACUUUUCUCUUCUGGUUGCUAGAACCUUUGUACUCUUGCUUUUUUUAUAGCAAAAAAAAACAGGAAAACUGCAGCAGCAAUGAUGAUUCUAAUAAGCAAGUUGCGUAGGUAAGAGCGUUCUCAUGAUUAAUUUUAAUCAGAAAAAAACUUAAAAUCAAAUCCUUCAGACUAGUUACUAGUUAGUAUGAGAAUAUAUUUCUUGACAAAAAAAAUCCAUUCUACAAGGCUUAAAUACUGGGUUUGGCUUCCUGGGUAUCCCAUUAAUCUGUUUGGAACCAAGCAUCUAAUGUGUUGUAUUAUGCCUGGAUGGUCAGAGAACUAACAUUUGACUUCUACGAAAACAAAAAUAAUCAGUAAAUGGCUUUCACUUGAUCAAAUUAUUUACUCCGAGCACCGAACUAGAAAUAUUAUGGCUUAUGCCACAUAUAACAAAUGUGAACUACUCCCUCCGUCCCAUAAUAUAAGAUCGUUUUCCAAGCUUUGUUAGAUAACAUUGAACGGCGUGCAUAUUAGAUAUUACAAAAACAAGUUGAGAGAAAUAUGUAUGUACGAGUUGUGCUACAAAUCAAGGAAAAAGAAGCGCUAAGUGUGUGUUUUGCCACUUCAUAGCGCAUAUCUCAUGUAUGUGGAUGCCUAAGAACACAUAGGCAUAAGCCAAGCAUGAUUAAGCGCUAGGCAUUCAGUGGUCGCCCAGCUCCUAGGCAAACCUAGGCAAGCUUUUAUUUCACUGCUAUAAAAAAUACCAUUUGUUGUAUACCAGAUUUAUUGAUCAUCAUUUAUAUUGGACAACUGACAGACAUAUUUGGCGCUAAAAGAAUAACUUUAGCUAAUGCAAAAUGGCAACCCAAUGCAAGCUAACAGAUACUUUAUGCCAAAUGAUGUCAAGUAGCGUGCAAGUUUCAUAGCCACAAAUUUUCAUGUCACAAUUGCACGUUUGCAAUACAAAUUUUGAUACGAGGACAUUUUUUUAAGAUGAUAUGCGCAGGACAACAACAGUUGAUGUGGCAAUCUAGGUGUAAGAAGAAGGGAGAAACCAAAUAUGCACAUGGGUAAAAUGGAUCGGAACUUACAUCAUCCAACAACAAACUGUAGCGGUAAUAAC
rnacentral:lncRNA from 1 species